GUAGAAUCGGUGGGCGGGGCUAAACGUGCAGCGCUGUAGAAUCGGUAGGCGGGGCUAAACGUGCAGUAUCGUGUAAUCGGUGGGCGGGGC